rnacentral:rRNA from 1 species
UACGUAGGGAGCAAGCGUUGUCCGGAAUUAUUGGGCGUAAAGAGCUCGUAGGCGGUUUGUCGCGUCGAAUGUGAAAACCCGGGGCUCAACCCCGGGCCUGCAUUCGAUACGGGCAGACUAGAGUUCGGUAGGGGAGUCUGGAAUUCCUGGUGUAGCGGUGAAAUGCGCAGAUAUCAGGAGGAACACCGGUGGCGAAGGCGGGACUCUGGGCCGAUACUGACGCUGAGGAGCGAAAGUGUGGGGAGCGAACAGG